UACGUAGGGUGCGAGCGUUGUCCGGAAUUAUUGGGCGUAAAGAGCUUGUAGGCGGUUUGUCGCGUCUGCUGUGAAAAUCCGGGGCUCAACCCCGGACUUGCAGUGGGUACGGGCAGACUAGAGUGUGGUAGGGGAGACUGGAAUUCCUGGUGUAGCAGUGAAAUGCGUAGAUAUCAGGAGGAACACCGAUGGCGAAGGCAGCCUUCUGGGCCAACACUGACGCUCAUGCACGAAAGCGUGGGGAGCAAACAGG
rnacentral:rRNA from 1 species